AAAGAUGUAGUUGUCUGUGGCCAAGCCAGUGAGACCCGUUCUGAUGGUCCAAUAGAGAAAAGAAAACAUUCGUGCACCAAGCAUGAAUACCUUGGGCACGUGCAGAUCUGAAGAGAGUGACCCAGUUGGGAGGGGGCAUGCUGUGGGCCUCACUGUUCUGACAGUCAUUACAAGAACUCAUUUAAACCAUCAUUCUGUGGCAAUGAGGGAGCAGUUUUAGUUUCUUGGGAUUUUUUUGCAAGCGUAUUGUGAGGUUUUUUAUCUAGCUCAGACAUUGGUGAGUCCGGUGACUAGCAGAUGCCUGAUGAAUACUUGUGUACACUGUUGUGUAGCCUGCUUUAAAAUGGGUCUUUUCUUUUGUAAAUGACAGGGCAAUCAAGUCCUUUCGUUGUAAGGGAGUAUGUUAGUGAUUUUAUUGGCUCCAUGGGUUUGUGGUCAUAUCGGGGCUUAGGCUGCCCUCAGUUUCCUCUGCCAAGGUUUGUGCUAAAGCUUUUUGAUCAUCAGGAAGACAAAGCCAUCUGUGGAGCCCUCCUCCUUUAAGAGUGAGCAUACACUUAGAGGGUUUGUCUGACUUACUGUUUUAAUAUCUUCUAAGGUGAGAUUCCCAUACUUUGUUUCCCUUUUUGAUGCUCUGUGGACUCAAACCCCAGCGCAUUAUAGCAUUGUCUGGAAAGAGGAUUUAAGUCUUUCAUUAUGGUUAUAUCACCUUCUGAGUUUUACGCGGUGGACUCUUAAAACUAUUACAAAAUGUGAAUUUAUAACGUACUUUGUUUUCCCUCUGUGACCUGUUAUUUCAGGUCACUUGAGGACAUCUUAGCGGUCUGCAGUGCCCAAGUCAGCAGUGGGACUUCAGAAGGAAAAGUUGCCUACCCUUCUCCCAUCCUGCUUAUGUGCAUAUAUACAUGUGUGUGCAUGUGUGCGUGCAUAUGUAUAUCUUACAACAACAGAAAACCUGGAGGCCACAUCUUGAUCCAGAAUGUUCUGUUGUGUUGCUGGGCUCCCCCAUUCUGAAGAAGGACUCUAAGAAGAUCCAUGGAGUAGAUCAAAGCUCUUAUUUAAUUGCACAGCUCACAACUUUGCUGCCAGAAGUGCCCACUCCGGUGUUGGCCUCCACACCGUUGUCUCUCACUGACUUUUAAAAUUAAAUUAGACUUUUUGUUUGCAGGAGAGUAUGAACUGUAAGGCUUUGUGCACAGACAUUGUGACUCAUGGAAGCUUUACUGCACUGUAGUUAAUAAACUUCUUUGCACCUUGUGGCU
rnacentral:lncRNA from 1 species